rnacentral:rRNA from 1 species
GACGAACGCUGGCGGCGUGCCUAAUACAUGCAAGUAGAACGCUGAAGGAGGAGCUUGCUUCUCCGGAUGAGUUGCGAACGGGUGAGUAACGCGUAGGUAACCUGCCUGGUAGCGGGGGAUAACUAUUGGAAACGAUAGCUAAUACCGCAUAAUAGCAGUUAUUGCAUGAUAACUGUUUGAAAGGUGCAAUUGCACCACUACCAGAUGGACCUGCGUUGUAUUAGCUAGUUGGUGGGGUAACGGCUCACCAAGGCGACGAUACAUAGCCGACCUGAGAGGGUGAUCGGCCUCACUGGGACUGAGACACGGCCCAGACUCCUACGGGAGGCAGCAGUAGGGAAUCUUCGGCAAUGGACGGAAGUCUGACCGAGCAACGCCGCGUGAGUGAAGAAGGUUUUCGGAUCGUAAAGCUCUGUUGUAAGAGA